GGACACUGGUCCUUCACGGGCUGUCGGUUCUCCACGGUAAGAUGUAAAUCUGUCAAACAUAUCGCCGAAUGCAGGGGAUAAUUGGUGAUAAUUUCAAACAGUUUCUCUUUCAUUAGAGACCAAUUAAAGAGGCGGUAAUAAAAAAGCUAUGGGAUCCGGAGAGAGCACGAGCAGGAGAGUUUCUUUCGGCCUAGAUGAGGAUGACAGAGUGAGGAUUCUGCGUGGAGUGAAGCUAUCUGAAGAUGUUCUACAGCGCAUGAGAAAUGCUGGUCAAACUCCUGAACCGAAACAACCUGUCAAUGAUAAAGAAAACCAAGGACAGCAGACUCAAACAUCCAGCACAUCUGACACUCCAGCUCCAAAAUCUCAGACCAGGACAACUUUUCCUGACACUAAAGAGGAAUUGAGGAAAAGGUAUGAGCAGCAGCAGGCCAUUAUACAAGAGGAGCUGGCUCGCAUCGCUCAGAAAGAGAGAGAGGCAGUGCGGCAGGAUAUCACUCGAACGGUGCUGAGAGAGAAAGUGCAGACAAAGCUGGAGUCUGAGAAAGCCAAACAGCUGGGGAAACAGCUGGACAAGAAGGAGGCGGAACUAAAGGCGCUGGAUGCCUUCUACAGGGAGCAGAUCACACAGCUAGAAAAGAAGAAUGUAGAACGCUUCAAGAUGUCUGCCGCACAAUUCCACACAGCCGCAACCAGGAGUGAAGCCAGCAUAAAGCCUCGUAACAUGGAACCGGUGUGUACGAACUUGCAGGCUCAGAUCCUGAACUGCUACAGACAGAACCGCGAACAGACACUUCAGUGUUCAGAUCUGGCCAAAGAGUACAUGCAGUGCAUCAAUGCAGCCAAGAAGGAAUGGCCAUUGCCACAAAAGCAGGAGGUGGUAAACACAAAAUCCAAAUCAAUAGUAUUUGUUUGGAUAAUCGAAGAUCUUUCUCACUACACACAAAGCCUCUGGUUUAUUGUUUGCUCGAUGGGCCCAGGGAAAAACUCCACAUCGUUCCUACCUGCUGUUGACACAGACUCGCUUUAAUGUGAGGCAACCAAGACUAGAUUACUUUAAAGUAUAAUUUGCCCAAAAAUGAAAUUUCUGUCAUCGUUUACCAUCUCUUAUGUUGUUCCAAACCUGUACGAUUUUAUUUGUUUUGUGGAAUUGAAAAGGGGAGAUUUUACAGAUUAUCCAACCUGCUCUUUUCCAUACAGCUAAAGUGGAUGGUGAUCUAUGCUUUGAAAUGCCAUUUGUGCUUUUGUUCAAUUUAAACAUCUGUGUUGCAUUGUGUUCGAGCACAGAAACCAAUGAUGUUUGACAUCAUUGACGUCAAACUUGGCGCAGUGCGUCUUGAGGCGCAUUUUUGAAUGCAUAUAAGUGCAAAUGAGAUUUUAGACCUUUGGCAGAGGAGAAGAUUUUCAGUGAAUAACUGUUACUCACAAAAAGCUAUCGUAUGGCUUCGGAAGAUAUGCAAUAUUGUGCUCGAGUUUUAUGGACUAUAUUUAUGGGACUAUUAUGUUGCUUUUUUGUCCUUUUUGGAGCUUGACAGUGUAAAUCACCAUCCACAUUUGUUGUAUGGAAAAGAGCAACACAUCUGCAAAAUAUCUUUUGUGUUUCACACAGGAAAGAGAACAUGGAUUUGAAACAACUUGAAUGACAUAACAGACGUUUCUGGGAGUGUGAAAUAUAACGCAACCAACCUUGUUGUAAUCAAGCUGCAUUUACCGGUAAUUAGAAUCCAGCCAUUAAACAUACAUUAAACAGUGGCAUUUAGGAAGAUGGUUUAACUACUUAUGUUUUCUUUAAAGGAAGCAUAUUUAUUUACAUUACAGCUAAAUGAACUGAAGUGGGAUUUAUGGUCUUUUCAGACUGAGAAUGAGGAGAAUGUGCUUGAGAUGCCUGUUUGUUUUAAACACAGAUCAAAUGCAAGGUCUUCUCAUCAUAGCAGUUCCCCAACAGCAGUUAGAGGCUAUAGAAGCCCUUAUUAGAGAAACUCUCUCUUGCGCUUGACACACUUCACUUGCGCUUGACACACUAGGAAGACUGCACGCCCUGGAAUGAAGGAAGACAGAAGAAGAGCGAGAGCGGGGCGGUCCAUUUGUGCCGGGAGCAAACCCUGCGCUCGCUGUCUGAGGGGAGGGCGCCCACGCUUCUCUGGGCAUUGUCUGGAAUAAUGACUCUGAGAUUGGCUGAUUCCUCCACACUGCGCCGGGAUUCUCCACCCAUUUACGGCCUGGGCCUGAUGCUCCGUCUUAGAUGAAUCUGUUGGUGAAUCACGGAUAAAGAUCUGUUCUGCUUGUCAGCAGUGCCGCCAUCUUACCUGUCACUCAGAUUCAUCUGUGUGUUGGGUUUCACGGGCCGCUGCAUCUUCAGCCUUUCCAUCCAAUUACCAUCUGAUCCCCGGGCUCUGAGUCACACUACAGUGUACUGAACAAGCUAUAUUCUGCAGGCCGCUGCGAAUUUUCCAUUAUCUAAAACAGCACUGAGAAUGGGAUCACAAAAAUGCUAGGCUUGAUUUAUAUAAGAGUAUACUCAGGAAAUCCUGAUGCUUUUAAUUGUUAGGGUUUUAUUUACAAAUUAUAUUUAAUCAAAACCAUAUCUACAUAAAAGGAUAACUGAACAAAGUU